rnacentral:misc_RNA from 1 species
GCAGGAUCAACCAGGUAGCAUUCCUUAUUGACACCGGCACUACGCGACGAUGCCAGCGACCCGAAGGCGCAGCACCCCAACGCAACGUCGGACGUCAUUCGCUUCUAGCGGAGUACGCUAUUUUUCGGCCAACAAGAGAUCGUACGACCCCAAACCGUCUUAGUAUUCCGCAUCCGAGGGUUCAAGCACAGGUUCAUGGGCCGCAACUACACCACGACGAGUGAGUAGUACGGAACACAAACUUCGCUUCGGGGUUCACCCGCGAUCGUUUCCCGAGAAGGGCCGAUGUUAGGCGAAGGUUGGACUAGUAAACGGGCAAAUUCCAUUAAAGUAGGCAUGCAACACAGGAAACCGAGACAACGGCCAAGGUUAAAUUCGCUCUUGGGCCAAGUAAUGAAGAGGAAUGCAUGGAAGGACGUCGCUGCCCAAGCAGGGAUCCA